rnacentral:lncRNA from 1 species
CGAUUCCCCUGAAGUGUGCUUUCUAAACCUCAACAGUAACGAUGAGAUAUACAAUAAAACAUAAUAAGUUUUCGUAAAGGAGGUCAUCUUCCCUGUUGUGCGUGUUGCAGGUGUUCACUCUGAACUUGGCGUUGCUGGAGUGCGUCUACAGUUUGCUCUCGUUCCUGCGACCGCUCAACUAUUACUUCAUCAAACAUGCUUUUCUCUACACGUUCAACCUCUUCUUCUACGGUCUGCUCAGCGCAGGUGAGGAAAUAAUAACUUUAACUUACGUUUCAAACACAGUAAAUAUAGAAGCUUGUGUUCGCUAUGAGACUUUUUGUAAACGCACUAUUUGCACAUCUUUUAACUCAAUGCAUUUAAAUGUAAGUAUCUGGAAAGUUUAUGUUUGAGUUGUUUGAUAUGUUCGUGUUUUUAUCAUUUAUGUCUUCAUAUCUCGUAUUUUACAUACUCAAUAGAUAUAAAUGUAUCUUAUUUGUAUUAUUUACUGUCACACAUGAAUUUGGGAUCAAUAAAGUUCAUCUAUGGAUUUAAAAGCAUUCUCUGUAAAACUUAAAGUGCAAUCAAACAAAUGUUCCUCCAUGAACACUUAACUUCUCACCUCCUCCUGUGUGUCCGCAGGGCAGCCUCUGUUCCAGGCGUGUGUGUGUGUGGAGAGAUACCUGGCCGUGGUGCAUCCCGUGUCCUACCUCAGGUGGAACUCCGUGCGGCCUCGUCUCUGCGCGCUGCCUCUGGUUUGGGGUUUGACUUUCGUCUUCUGUGUUUGCAACGUCUUGAAGUUGGUCUUCGUCUUCCCGGUCGUGUUCCUGCUGCUGCUGCUGCUGCAGGGUCUCUGCUGCGUGCGCAUCCUGCAGGUCCUGCGUCAGCCCGGUCCAGGUGA